AAAAAAACUAGGUUUUCAACAUAAAUCAAAAUGGCGGUCAGGAAGUUCGGAUGACUAUGGCAAAAUUGGUAUCUAUGUUGUCGGCAUGACCUAAUGAAUAUUUUCAUACAAGUUUCAUUACAAUAGGCUAAUACAAUCAAAUGUUAUUAGCAUUUUUGGAAAUGUAAUAAUUUACGGUUAGUGAAUGGUUUAUUAGUUUUGACCAAUAGGUGGCACUAUUACCAAACUGAUGUGACGUGAUCAGUUUGAGGUGACUAUGGCACAUAUAUAGUUUGGCACAUAUAUAGUCAAAGCAUUGCAGAGAUACAGCCCUCAGAUGCAGUUUGGCAUCUUUCCAGCAAAUUCGUUGACUUACUAAACGAGAAUCGUUUCUUCUAUUGACACAAAAUCCAUAACUUUUUGCCAGCAUGGUCUGAAGAUGAUCCGAGUCAAAUUUAUUGAAAAUCAGACUUAUGGUCUAGGAGAAGUUCGAAAAAGUAGGUUUUCAACAUAAAUCAAAAUGGUGGAUAGGAAAUUCAGCCAAUUAUGGCAAAAAUUGACAUCGAUGUUCUCAGCAUUAUCCAAGGAAUCUAUAAACAUCAGUCCCAUUACAAUAGGCUAAUGUAAGCAAAAGUUAUUAGCAUUUUUAUCAAUUUCAUUUUAACUUUUGACCACAAGGUGGCGCCCAAACCCAAAUGUUUUGAAUACCAUCAGGGCAUUGUGUCAAAGAUGCUUACUGAGUUUCGUAGCGAUACAUCAAUGCGUUCGUAAAUUAUAGAAUUUUAUGACAAAAUUUAAAAAAAAAAGUAGGUUUUACGAACAAUUAAAAAUAGGGAAAAAACUAAACCUUGCAAUUUUUGAAUUUUGGAGUUCAUUCAACUCAGCAUAAGACAAGGAUUCAGAGAGAAAUAAUUUCAUUUUCUAAAAGUUAUUAGCAUAAACGUGUGCAAUUUUGGACAAGUGGUGGCGCUAGAGGGUUUGAGUUAAAAAACUCCAAAUUUGCUAUGGUGACAUUUCUCACUCUCCUCUAUCAGUGUGCCAAAUUUCACAACUUUCCCGCAUGCGGUUCUAU
ensembl:lncRNA